AUCCUUGGCAUGAGAGACAAGCUGCCAAAGUGUAAUGGGCACAGUAAUUUGUACAUGGAAAUGAGGAUCCAUGAACAUCAGUGUCCUCAGGAGCUUACGAUUAAAACAUUAUGCUGAGCUCUUAUGAUUUCUACAGCUAAUUAGCAAGAUUUAUAAGUGUCUAAAAAAAAAAAAAGGCUGAAUACAGAAACUAUCCUUAUUUUCCACUUAGGGUAGAAAACUGCUGGGUUCUAUAAUAGUGGGGAAAGAAAGAGAGGGAAAACACCCUUAUCUUUUCAUUUGCCCACAAUUUAGACUAAUUGCUUCUCUCUUUUCCCUAGGAUAAGUGGAUGUCUCAGGUGUCAAGCAUGAAGUCUGUGACUUAUUCACAUCAGUGGCAAUGCCUUGUUGAUUUCAUAGAGAAAAGGUUUCCUGCUGUUUCAUUAUGGAUUCAGACUAGCACUGGUUUUGUUUUCCAGCAGCAUGCUGAGGGAAUGCAAGGUGUCUGAAAAAGCCACUUCCACUAAUAUAUCCUUGGUUGAUUCUGUUCCCCAGGAGUGCAAAGGGAAAAGGAGGGGCGUGGGAGGAAAGAAGAAAUACCAAGCUAGUCUGUAGAGGAAUGAAGGUUUUAGUCUGCAGCCACAGACCUGCAAGGAUCUCCGCUGCUCCCAGGAGGAUUUCUGGCUGGCAGCACCUGCAUGACCUGCUUGGGAAGUUCAUGCCCCAGCUCAGCUGCUGCAGUGACUCAGAGACAGGCACUUCCAGGGACGCAUCCCUGCUCCCGGUCCCGGCUGGCCCCACAGGUGUCCCACCACAGACAGCAGAAGCACCUAAGAUCAUCCAUGCUUGGAUUUCCUUUACUGGCUGUUUCACAGGAGGCUGCAAGGAGGUUUUUAUGCUUCCACGGCUCCUUUCCAUCCUACCCUGUGAGGAAGUCACCCAACUACAACGGUGUGCGGUUUCAGACAGAAAAUAAAAGCUGGCUGUUUUGAAAUCAAA